GCCUGGUUGGCUCAGUUGGUUAAGUGUCUGAUUUCUGCUCAGGUCAUGAUCUCACGGUUUGUGAGUUCAAGCCCCGCAUCAGGCU
rfam:Felis catus isolate Cinnamon breed Abyssinian chromosome B2, whole genome shotgun sequence.